CAGAAAUCGUACCUUGAAAAUCCGAUUGGACUUUUUCCGUUGAAGUGAUUUAGGCUCCUAGAUCACGAUCCGCCACCACCACUCCUGUUAGAUCACGAUCCGUCACCACCACGCUUGUUAGAUCACGAACUGUCUCCAAUGAUCUUCCAGGUUAUGACUCAGGUUCGAUCUGCACUUGACGUGUGGGCGCCUUUAUCACUACCAAAGCAACUAGCACGAGAAAAUUUUUCUCUCAAC
rnacentral:lncRNA from 1 species